UACAGAGGGUGCAAGCGUUGUUCGGAAUUACUGGGCGUAAAGCGCGCGCAGGCGGUCCUUCAAGUCAGAGGUGAAAGCCCAGAGCUCAACUCUGGAACGGCCUUUGAGACUAGAGGACUUGGGUACGGGAGAGGUGAGUGGAAUUCCGAGUGUAGAGGUGAAAUUCGUAGAUAUUCGGAAGAACACCAGUGGCGAAGGCGGCUCACUGGCCCGUUACCGACGCUCAGGCGCGACAGCGUGGGGAGCAAACAGG
rnacentral:rRNA from 1 species